rnacentral:rRNA from 1 species
GACGAACGCUGGCGGCGUGCCUAAUACAUGCAAGUCGAACGAGUGGCGGACGGGUGAGUAAUGUAUGGGGAUCUGCCCGAUAGAGGGGGAUAACUACUGGAAACGGUGGCUAAUACCGCAUACUAUCGGAUGAACCCAUAUGGGAUUAGCUAGUAGGUGGGGUAAAGGCUCACCUAGGCGACGAUCUCUAGCUGGUCUGAGAGGAUGAUCAGCCACACUGGGACUGAGACACGGCCCAGACUCCUACGGGAGGCAGCAGUGGGGAAUAUUGCACAAUGGGCGCAAGCCUGAUGCAGCCAUGCCGCGUGUAUGAAGAAGGCCUUAGGGUUGUAAAGUACUUUCAGCGGGGAGGCGUUACCCGCAGAAGAAGCACCGGCUAACUCCGUGCCAGCAGCCGCGGUAAUAC